UAACUGCCAAGUUUAGCCAAGGAAGAGAUGCUGGUGAACCCAGGAAAGUGUUCAAAGGAGAAAUGACUCCUGCCAUAAGCUCUUGUUUGAGCUGGUAAACAAGUACAUCUUGCCCAGAUGUGAAAGAAGGAAUGAAGCAAAUUGCUUGGACAUGUUAGUCAUGGAUGUAAUAGAUCAAGGGAUGCUGGUGAAUCUGCCUUCUCUAAUGGUGAAGCAUAUGACUAGGGCAACAGAAGGAUCACAUGCUUUGCCCUAUGGGUUCUGGCUGACCAGGGUAUUCACCCACUUUAAAGUUCCCCUGAAUGUGGGGAAAAGGGGAGGAAAGAAGGACAUGAUCAGUAAGUCUACACUUGCAGAGUGUGACCUCCUUCCCAAGGCGCUUGGUUGUAAGAGUAAUAGCUUGAUCACACAGUUGAUCAAUGAACUUGAAGAGGCAAAGGCUGAAAAGGCAAAGGUAGAGGCUGAAAAUGUAGUGUUGAAAGCAGAGGUUCAAAAGGUGAGGUUUUGGCACAUCACAAAAGGCUGCAGCUGCAUGAAAUAAUAAAAUCCUAGCCCACAUUUCCUCUCCUACCUCCUCCAACAAAGAACCCGGUCCUUAUUUCCUACUGCUUCGUUAUGUGUGGCAAAGUCCUAUUCUUUCUAAGACCCCAUUUGAGAUGUUUUUCUAGUUUCUUGUCUGGUUUAUAGUAAGUGGCAGUUAUAAGCAGAUUAAUGUUACUAUUCUUUAGUUGGAUGCAUGCAUAAAAUUUCCUUUGGCUUAAAAUGAUGUCUUUUUCUGACUAAUAUCGUUGGAUUUCGUUUUGACAAUUACUUGGCGAUCCUAUACCUAGUGGCCAUGUGGUAUAAGUUUGAUAUUCCUCACUUGAUUAAAUGUUUUUGCUUUUCGAUGAUGCCAAAAGGAGGAAGAUAACAUGAUAACUGACUGUGUGGUUUGAUACUGAAAACAUUGAUGAUUACGAUGGAGAAGGACCUGGUUCUUGGUUGCUUAUACUAGAGAUUUCUGAUGAAAGAAUCAGGUUCCUGCUGCAAAUUUGGUUUUAUGUAUUAUGUUAGGUUGUAAUUCUGAUUUUGCUUAAUGGAAAUUGAAUUUUUUAAUCUUGUCGUGUUUUGUAAUAUUCUUGUCACACAACAAUCAAUUUUGAAUGUUUGAUUAACGACAUUUUCUUUGCAUGAGAUUUGGAUUUGUACGAUCCUUUAUGUUCUUUUAUCAUUUUGUUCCAUUUGAAAUAUUAAGGCUGAUAACUGUUCUCCCAAGGAGUAACUUACCAGUUUCAAAAAAAAAACUGUUCUCGCGAGGAGCAUCCCAUUCUUCUGACUGAGGCACUACUUAACCAUGAGGCGAAUCGAGAGAAAAUAAUGUAAAUCAUUUUUGAUACAUUCAAUGUUCCAGUCACAUAUCCCGCAAUCCAGGCUGUUGGUUCUUUGUAUGCUAAUGAUAACUACUUAACCAUGAGGCGAAUUGAGAGAAAAUAAUUCAAAUCACAUUUGAUACAUUCAAUAUUCCAGUCUUGUAUCCCGCAAUCCAGGCUGUUGGUUCUUUGUAUGCUUAUGCAAGGCAUUGUGCUUGUUUUCGGUGAUGGUGUGAGUCAUACUGUCCCUAUCUAUGAGGCACAUGCACUUCCCCAUGCUAUCUCAAGGUUACAUCUUGCAGAGCAUGAUCUUACAGGAAGAUUGUCUUGGAGAAAGGUUACGCAUUUAACUAUUUCGUUGGUAUUUGGCAUAUCGUAUGAAGGAAACAAUUGCUUUUGUUGCACUGGAUUUUGAGAUUGAGAAGGCAAAAAGUAGAUCAUCUGUGGUGAACGGUAUGAGCUUCCUGAUGGACAAAUCAUUAGUAUUGGUGCUGAGAGGUUACAUUGCUCAAUGGUGGCUCAACUGUGUUUUCUGGCAUAAACAGAAUGUAUAUGAGCAAGGAAGUCACUGCUUUUGCUCCAAGCAGCUCGAAGAUUGAGGUUCACCGCUUCACCAAGUACUACAACUGGAUAGGAAGAUCAGUUCUGCUUCCUGCAGUUUCUGGAAAAAACUCAAUGGAUUCAGCACCAAUGUCGAUGUCCCAUGCAUAUGUGCAUGACAGAUGGCGAGUACGAUGAAUCUGGUUCCUCAAAUGUCCA